rnacentral:lncRNA from 1 species
GUCAAAAUGUUAAAUAAUUCCAGAAGUGUUUUCAGAAUGGAACUGAGUGUUGAUAGAAUCUGUCCAAUGAUGUAAAAAAUGUCUGAUGAGUAGCUUUGUUGUAAUAAUAUACAUACGAAAUAAGAUGAUACAUAUAAAAUAUGAUUCAAAAGCAGCAUGGAAGGACUAGAACAUGAUAAGCUGACAUAUGUAAGAAAUUAAAUGUAUUAUACCUAUUUCAAUUAUCACUCAAAAAAUGAGAGAGUGCUUAAUGGUAACUACCAUUUCAUUGCUGUAAAAUUGCCCAAUCAUGAAGUCUUGCCAGAUAUCAUUGUAAAUACUCAGAAACAACUAGUUAAUUCAAAAUGGAAAGGGAUCUUUUGUUGCAGCCAAAACUCAUUAUCUAAAUCUUAGACAUGCAUUUUAUUGAAAAAUUCAAUUACACGAACUGUCCUUUCUGACAAAUACUACAAAGACUUUAUGCUGUUUAAUGUUGAGGUAAUGAUUUUUGUCUGUAACUAGUUUGGGUUAGGAGGUGAUUUCAUCAAAACAUCUUCCUUUGAAAGCCAAAAUGCAAACACAUAUGCUCAAGGAGUGAAAACAAGUCAUGCAGAAAUCGACAAAAUGUUAUAUUUGUAAUUUGAAUACAUGUGAUAUUUUUCCGCUAACAAUUCCUUGUGUUGUAAAUGACUCUAUUUUCUAUUAAGAUUUUUAUGUAAUAUGCAACUAUGAGUUAGCUUGUUUGUGUCAGUAAAAUUUGAACACCUUUAAAUACUUCAUAUAUAUUUUUAUGAUUCUAUAUCUCAUAUGGUAAAUUGUUGUUACAAAAGUUUUCGUAUUUUCAUCACAUAUUUUUGUAACACAGUUUCAUUUUUCUGAAGAGUUUGUAAGAAACUACUUGACAUUUACAUGUGAGCUUAUUUCAGUAUUUAUUUCCUUAACAGUUAAUGUAUGGAUAAAACUGAAAAAUAAUCCGGUUAAAUGUGCUAGAGGUUGUAUAGAGAACAUAAA